UACAGAGGGGGCAAGCGUUAUUCGGAAUUAUUGGGCGUAAAGGGCGCGUAGGCGGCAUGGCAAGUGGAAGGUGAAAUCCCUCGGCUUAACCGGGGAACUGCCUUCCAAACUGUUUUGCUUGAGUCCGGGAGAGGUCAGUGGAAUUCCCAGUGUAGCGGUGAAAUGCGUAGAUAUUGGGAGGAACACCAGUGGCGAAGGCGACUGACUGGACCGGUACUGACGCUGAGGCGCGAAAGCGUGGGGAGCAAACGGG
rnacentral:rRNA from 1 species